CCUUCCUAUUACCUUAAGUUCUGUGAUCUCAGUUGACGCUUUUAGAAAGCAGCUGAAGACACACUUGUUUCAACUCGCUUUGUCUCAUGUUUGUAAUUUUGGGUUUUAUGAACCCACACUCU